GACGAACGCUGGCGGCGUGCCUAACACAUGCAAGUCGAGCGGGAACCUCAGGAGGGGUAACCCUCCUGAGGGGAGAGCGGCGAACGGGUGAGUAACACGUGGGCAACCUGCCCCGGACACCGGGAUAACCCAGGGAAACCUGAGCUAAUACCGGAUACUCCGGCGAGAUCGCAUGGUCGCGCCGGGAAAGCUCCGACGGUCCGGGAUGGGCCCGCGGCCUAUCAGCUUGUUGGUGGGGUAACGGCCCACCAAGGCGACGACGAGUAGCUGGUCUGAGAGGACGGCCAGCCACACUGGGACUGAGACACGGCCCAGACUCCUACGGGAGGCAGCAGUGGGGGAUCUUGCGCUAAUGCGCGAAAGCGUGACGCAGCGACGCCGCGUGGGGGAUGAAGGCCCUCGGGUUGUAAACCCCUUUCGGCAGGGACGAAGCGAAAGUGACGGUACCUGCAGAAGAAGUCCCGGCUAACUACGUGCCAGCCGCCGCCGUAACAC
rnacentral:rRNA from 1 species